UGGUUCUGGCAUCGAUGAAGAACGCAGCGAAAUGCGAUAAGUAAUGUGAAUUGCAGAAUUCAGUGAAUCAUCGAAUCUUUGAACGCACAUUGCGCCCCCUGGUAUUCCGGGGGGUAUGCCUGUUCGAGCGUCAUUUAUACCAAUCUAGCUUGGCUAGGUGUUGGGCGUCGCCGUCUGGCGGGCCUUAAAACUAGUGGCGGUGCUCUCAAGCUCUACGCGUAGUAAUCUUCUCGCUACAGGGUUUUGGGAGAUGCUGGCCAGCAACCCCAAAUUUUUCUAGGUUGACCUCGGAUCAGGUAGGGAUACCCGCUGA
rnacentral:misc_RNA from 1 species